GACAGAAGCAGAGAAAAGGGGCGAACCCCAUAUCCAAAACCCUAACAUCACCAUUUCUUGCAAAUUGAAGGCUCAAAUCCUAACCAAAACAAAAUCCGAGCUUAGAAUCGUGUUCCUCAUCGCGAGAGGGUCUAGAGGCAAAGAGUCCGGUUCCUCUAGCGGACAAGCCGAGGGGAAAUCACGAGGAAAAGGCGCGCUCUAAAGGCAAAGAGUCCGGUUCCUCUAGCGGACAAGCCGAGGGGAAAUCACGAGGAAAAGGCGCGCUCUAAAGGUAC